CAUGUAGGCGGCAUGACAAGUCUGGUGUGAAAUAUCUUGGCUCAACCGAGAAAACGCACUGGAAACUAUCAAGCUUGAGUAUCGGAGGGGAAGCUAGAAUUCCUGGUGUAGGGGUGAAAUCUGUAGAUAUCAGGAAGAAUACCGGUGGCGAAGGCGAGCUUCUGGCCAGAUACUGACGCUGAGAUGCGAAAGCGUGGGGAGCGAACAGGAUUAGAUACCCUGGUAGUC
rnacentral:rRNA from 1 species